rnacentral:rRNA from 1 species
UAAUACGGAGGGGGUUAGCGUUGUUCGGAAUUACUGGGCGUAAAGCGCGCGUAGGCGGGCUGUUAAGUCAGAGGUGAAAUCCCACGGCUCAACCGUGGAACUGCCUUUGAUACUGGCAGCCUUGAGUUCGAGAGAGGUGAGUGGAAUUCCGAGUGUAAAGGUGAAAUUCGUAGAUAUUCGGAGGAACACCAGUGGCGAAGGCGGCUCACUGGCUCGAUACUGACGCUGAAGUGCGAAAGCGUGGGGAACAAACAGGAUUAGAUACCCUGGUAGUCCACGCCGUAAACGAUGAAUGCCAGACGUCGGGCAGCAUGCUGUUCGGUGUCACACCUAACGGAUUAAGCAUUCCGCCUGGGGAGUACGAUCGCAAGAUUA